rnacentral:rRNA from 1 species
UACGAAGGGGGCUAGCGUUGCUCGGAAUUACUGGGCGUAAAGCGCUCGUAGGCGGCUUUCUAAGUCAGGGGUGAAAUCCUGGAGCUCAACUCCAGAACUGCCUUUGGUACUGGGAAGCUUGAGUUCGGGAGAGGUGAGUGGAACUGCGAGUGUAGAGGUGAAAUUCGUAGAUAUUCGCAAGAACACCAGUGGCGAAGGCGGCUCACUGGCCCGAUACUGACGCUGAGGUGCGAAAGCGUGGGGAGCAAACAGG